rnacentral:rRNA from 1 species
ACGGGUGAGUAACACGUGGGUAACCUGCCCUGUACUCUGGGAUAAGCCUUGGAAACGAGGUCUAAUACCGGAUACGACCUUCUAUCGCAUGGUGGAGGGUGGAAAGUUCCGGCGGUAUGGGAUGGACCCGCGGCCUAUCAGCUUGUUGGUGGGGUAAUGGCCUACCAAGGCGACGACGGGUAGCCGGCCUGAGAGGGUGACCGGCCACACUGGGACUGAGACACGGCCCAGACUCCUACGGGAGGCAGCAGUGGGGAAUAUUGCACAAUGGGCGAAAGCCUGAUGCAGCGACGCCGCGUGAGGGAUGACGGCCUUCGGGUUGUAAACCUCUUUCAGCAGGGACGAAGCGCAAGUGACGGUACCUGCAGAAGAAGCACCGGCUAACUACGUGCCAGCAGCCGCGGUAAUACGUAGGGUGCGAGCGUUGUCCGGAAUUAUUGGGCGUAAAGAGCUCGUAGGCGGUUUGUCGCGUCGGCCGUGAAAACUUGGGGCUUAACCCCGAGCCUGCGGUCGAUACGGGCAGACUUGAGUUCGGCAGGGGAGACUGGAAUUCCUGGUGUAGCGGUGAAAUGCGCAGA